AUACAGAGGGUGCAAGCGUUAAUCGGAUUUACUGGGCGUAAAGCGCGCGUAGGUGGCUAAUUAAGUCAAAUGUGAAAUCCCCGAGCUUAACUUGGGAAUUGCAUUCGAUACUGGUUAGCUAGAGUAUGGGAGAGGAUGGUAGAAUUCAAGGUGUAGCGGUGAAAUGCGUAGAGAUCUGGAGGAAUACCGAUGGCGAAGGCAGCCAUCUGGCCUAAUACUGACACUGAGGUGCGAAAGCAUGGGGAGCAAACAGGAUUAGAUACCCUGGUAGUCCAUGCCGUGAACGAUGUCUACUAGCCGUUGGGGCCCUUGAGGCUUUAGUGGCGCAGCUAACGCGAUAAGUAGACCGCCUGGGGAGUACGGUCGCAAGACUAAAACUCAAAUGAAUUGACGGGG
rnacentral:rRNA from 1 species